rnacentral:rRNA from 1 species
AUUGAACGCUGGCGGCAGGCUUAACACAUGCAAGUCGAGCGGAGCGAGGAUGCUUGCACCUUAGCUAGCGGCGGACGGGUGAGUAAUGCUUAGAAAUCUGCCUAUUAGUGGGGGACAACAUUCCGAAAGGGAUGCUAAUACCGCAUACGCCCUACGGGGGAAAGCAGGGGAUCUUCGGACCUUGCGCUAAUAGAUGAGCCUAAGUCGGAUUAGCUAGUUGGUGGGGUAAAGGCCUACCAAGGCGACGAUCUGUAGCGGGUCUGAGAGGAUGAUCCGCGACACUGGGACUGAGACACGGCCCAGACUCGUACGGGAGGCAGCAGUGGGGAAUAUUGGACAAUGGGCGGAAGCCUGAUCCAGCCAUGCCGCGUGUGUGAAGAAGGCCUUUUGGUUGUAAAGCACUUUAAGCGAGGAGGAGGCUACUAGUAUUAAUACGACUGGAUAGUGGACGUUACUCGCAGAAUAAGCACCGGCUAACUCUGUGCCAGCCGCCGCCGUAA